UACGAAGGGGGCUAGCGUUGUUCGGAAUUACUGGGCGUAAAGCGCACGUAGGCGGAUAUUUAAGUCAGGGGUGAAAUCCCAGAGCUCAACUCUGGAACUGCCUUUGAUACUGGGUAUCUCGGGUAUGGAAGAGGUGAGUGGAAUUCCGAGUGUAGAGGUGAAAUUCGUAGAUAUUCGGAGGAACACCAGUGGCGAAGGCGGCUCACUGGUCCAUUACUGACGCUGAGGUGCGAAAGCGUGGGGAGCAAACAGG
rnacentral:rRNA from 1 species